rnacentral:lncRNA from 1 species
GGAGGCAGCGGAUCCAACAACAGAAUAUGAGAACGAACGUUAGUAUAUUGUUCGUUAAGCCCACAACGAAACUGCAUAGCUUGAUUUUCAAGUUUAUGUUGAGCAAUAAUAGAAGAAACUUUACAAGUGCAUAUAACAUUACAGGUGAAAACAGGAUCUAGUAAAAAAUUCUCCAAUUCAUCCUAAAUAAUUCGAAGUUGAGUGAAAAAAUCUGCGACUGACAAAUCACCUUGUUUAAUGGAAUAUGCCUCUAGUUGCAUAGCAGAGAUACGAAGGAGAUCGCCCUGGAAAUAACGAGAUUUUAGGUCAUGCCAGAUUUCCUCAGCACAGUCCAUCCAAAGUAUGCUUUGGAGAAUAGACGAUGAAACAAAAUGAACGAGCCAGGAAACGACCACAUUAUUACAACGUAUCCAAGCACCAUGUGUUCGAUCAGAUUGUGAUGGUUGUGGAGCACUGCCAUUAAUGAACUAUACCUUAUUUUUGGCACUAAGAGUAGUAAUCAUAGAUUUGCUCUAAGAAUGAUAAUUCGUAGAAGCAAGAUAAGGAGAUACAAUGGCCAUAGCUGGAUUUUCAUUGAGAUGUAAAUAUAGAAAACUAUGAACAUUAAGAGAUGGAUCAUUAUCACCGCUCAUAAUUGCAAAGAAAACAUAAAAAUGUGACAGAAGAGAAGAGAAAACCUUACUCUUGAUACCAUAACAAAUAAAAUGCAGACGAAAGAAAAGAAAAAAAUCUCAAUGCAUAUUACCUUGUUUUUAUUACGGUGAUCAAAAGCCAAAUAUAUACACG